GCGCGUAGGAGUCUUGAGAAGGGCUGUCCCUAGUACGAGAGGACCGGGACGGACGAACCUCUGGUGUGCCAGUUGUUCUGCCAAGGGCAUGGCUGGUUGGCUACGUUCGGGAGGGAUAACCGCUGAAAGCAUCUAAGCGGGAAGCCUGCUUCGAGAUGAGGACUCCCACCCACUUGAUGGGGUAAGGCUCCCAGUAGACGACUGGGUUGAUAGGCCGGAUCUGGAAGCCAGGUAACUGGUGGAGGUGACCGGUACUAAUAGGCCGAGGGCUUGUCCUC
rnacentral:rRNA from 1 species